rnacentral:rRNA from 1 species
UACGAAGGGUGCAAACGUUGCUCGGAAUUAUUGGGCGUAAAGCGCACGUAGGCGGUUCGUUAAGUCGGAUGUGAAAGCCCUCGGCUCAACUGAGGAAGUGCACCCGAAACUGGCGAGCUUGAGUACGAAAAGAGGAUCGCGGAAUUCCCGGUGUAGAGGUGAAAUGCGCAGAUAUCAGGAGGAACACCGAUGGCGAAGGCAGGUCUCUGGGCCACUACUGACGCUGAGAAGCGAAAGCAUGGGGAGCGAACAGG